GUCCCUGUAGCGCAAUGUAUAGCGUGUUGGACUUCUAAUCCAAAGGUGUUGGAUUCGAAUACCACAUGGGAUA